UUAGAAUGAUUGUAAACAUAUCUCAAAUAUAUUUUAAUUCAAUCUUAAUUUAAUCAUAGUUAAAAUCUUACAUCAUUCAAACUUUAGGCCAAAAACUAAUUAAAUCUUAAAUCCUAAAUAAAUUCAAAUAAAAUCCUAAAUCCUAAAUCAAAUCCUGAUCAAAUCCUAACCAAACCUUAAAUCCUAAACCAAACCCUAAAUUCUAAACCAAAUUCUAAAUCCUAAAUCAAAUCCUAACCAAAUCCUAACUCUAAAUCAAAUCCUAACCAAAUCCUAACCCUAAAUCAAAUCCUAACCAAACCCUAA
rnacentral:lncRNA from 1 species